GACGAACGCUGGCGGCGUGCUUAACACAUGCAAGCCGAACGGAAAGGCCCUGCUUUUGUGGGGUGCUCGAGUGGCGAACGGGUGAGUAACACGUGAGUAACCUGCCCUUGACUUUGGGAUAACUUCAGGAAACUGGGGCUAAUACCGGAUAGGAGCUCCUGCUGCAUGGUGGGGGUUGGAAAGUUUCGGCGGUUGGGGAUGGACGCGCGGCUUAUCAGCUUGUUGGUGGGGUAGUGGCUUACCAAGGCUUCGACGGGUAGCCGGCCUGAGAGGGUGACCAGCCACAUUGGGACUGCGGGACGCCGCAGACGGCUACGGGAGACAGCAGUGGGGAAUAUUGCACAGUGGGCGGAAGUGUGAUGCAGCAACGCCGCGUGCGGGAUGACGGCCUUCUGGUUGUAAACCGCUGUAGCCUGUGACGAAGCGGGAGUGACGGUAAUGGGUAAAGAAGCACCGGCUAACUACGUG
rnacentral:rRNA from 1 species